UACGAAGGGGGCUAGCGUUGCUCGGAAUUACUGGGCGUAAAGGGCUCGUAGGCGGUUUGUCGCGUCGGGAGUGAAAACUCAGGGCUUAACCCUGAGCCUGCUUCCGAUACGGGCAGACUAGAGGUAUGCAGGGGAGAACGGAAUUCCUGGUGUAGCGGUGAAAUGCGCAGAUAUCAGGAGGAACACCGGUGGCGAAGGCGGUUCUCUGGGCAGUAACUGACGCUGAGACACGAAAGCGUGGGUAGCAAACAGG
rnacentral:rRNA from 1 species